ensembl:lncRNA
GUGUGUGUGUGAGUGUGUGUGUGUGUGUGAGUGCACUCCAGGAAGUCUCAAGCGUUUCAUCCUUCUGCCCCUUCUGUUGUCGUACAUACGUUUUUUGGUGUUCUCACACUGCGGUUAAUAUGUUUAAGUGACCUACAUUUAGUUUCUAUGAACUGUGUUAGUUUGUUGACAUGCAAAAUGAAAUGAUUAGUAAUGUAUGUUACGUGCUAAUAUAUGACUGUUAGUAUACCAUUCAUUCAUCAUUCCGUUAAUGGCUAACGUUAGCACUUGUUAGCCAGCUGUGCUGUAGUAAUAUAGGAACUUGCUGUGUUAGUUAAGAGACCUUCUAAGUAUUUUCUGCUUCUUGUGUAUUACAGUUUCACUCAUAGGUUUUCACUUGUACAUUUAGCGUAAAUAAUUUAUUAAAUGAAAUGAUACGCUCAUACGGCAGUGAAGGGAAAGUAAAGUGUAGGAUAUGUAAGAAAUGAAUAGUUAUCCCAACGGCUCCUGCUGUGAACUAUCCAAAUGGGAUCAAAUAUGAAGUCCACAUUUGUAACAUGACGGUCCAAUAUGAGUUUGUUUGUGGCGUUCCUGAGAAGGCGCCAUUUUCACUUCCAUAGCCCUUGAGUUGACCUUGGGUGUUUAGGCCUUGGUGUAAUGUAGGACUUUACCACAACAGUCAAUGGGCAUAAUAAUCUUAUGGAAAAUACUGCUAUGUAAAACUGGCGAUUGCUUUUGGUGUCUACUGCUUAUUUGCUCACUUUUGUAACGCCUUGACUGUUUCACACCUUUCUUACUUCCUUUAUGAAACCAAGAGCUCUGACAUUUUAAAGAACUGUGAUCAGAUAAACAGGAAAUGUUCACAGGUCGACCCAUGUCCAUAUUUGGCAGCAGACAUUCGCAUCUCAUCUCUCUCUCUCUCUCUCUCUCUUCCUUCUAUCGAACACUGAUCUUUUUUGGAUUUUGGUCUUUCCUGUCCCCUCAAAUACCCAGUUGGUUAUUCAGUGUUAUCAGAGAAAUAUCUCAAUAAAGUGAAGCUUGACGUCGGUACAACACAAUGCAUUAUUGUGAACAGAGAGGCUAAUACACAAAGUUUUCUCUUUCUGUUUUGAUCUGAUAAGGGGCUGGCUUGUCAUUUUCCUUUCGACCCUGAAAAAAAUAAGAGGAUAGGUGAAUAUUGCACGGGUUAUAUCACAUUUAAUCUACGUUAAGCAGAGGUGAACGCCUCUCCACCGUUAGCUGGCUGGCUGCAGCAAAGCAUCAAAUAAUGUCAUUCAUUGAGCCUGUUUACAUUGAGGCCGUAACAGGCUAUAAUAAUAUUGGGCUUGUUUUUGAAGCUGCGGGUGCUUAUUUGUCUCGCGAGAGUUGGCAACACUGACACACAGUACUAUAUUAGUGUCUGUUGAGCGACUUUCACUUUCAUACCAUGCAGACGCUUGUAUCGUGGAAUAGAGAAUUUCGCGGCAGUGAAGAAUUUACGCUCAUGGUGAAAGCUUCUCUGAUGUGUUACGCUUUUCCUCACACCCUCGAAAGCAAUGGCUUUUCACGCAUACGUUUUCACCUGUAUAUCAAUAAAGGAGCAAGGCGCUCGCUUCCUGUCUCGUGAAAACCGAGUUUGGCUGAAAGUUUAACUACUGGUCGUGUAAAACACGUAGCAGGAACAGUACAUUUAGCGUAUAUGAUUUAUUUAAUGAAAUGAUACGCUAAUUUCUUCGUCGAUAGAAGAACAUCUGUGGACCAGACUGUAGUUCAGGCAGGGGCGCUAACAAACAGUAUAGAAGCGUGCAGGGCUGUGCAACUUCCUGGUUGGAAUACUGAAGAGGAACAGAAUGAGAACAGUUUUGAAUGAAGGCCUAGGUUAGGCGAUGUUCUCAUGUGAGAGUCAUCGCAAUGGAAAGUUUUUAAAACGUGCGAUCCGGGGCGUAACUAUAGACUGUGCAG